AAUGCGAUAAGUAAUGUGAAUUGCAGAAUUCAGUGAAUCAUCGAAUCUUUGAACACACCUUGCGCCCCUUGGUAUUCCGAGGGGCACGCCUGUUUGAGUGUCGUGAAA
rnacentral:rRNA from 1 species